rnacentral:lncRNA from 1 species
CUAACAACACGAGGCAUCCUAACACCACGAGGCAUCCUAACAACACGAGGCAUCCUAACACCACGAGGCAGCCUAACAACACGAGGCAUCCUAACAACACGAGGCAGCCUAACAAAACAACAAAUAUUCUCACUAUAUUCCCUCCCGGUAGACUAGAACAGACUGUCUGAUAAACAUAUGAACAGCAUGUAUCUCUCUCUCACACACACUAGCAUGGCUGUGUAUCUAUCUGAACAGUGAUCCUAUUGUGAAGAGGUGGUGGAAGACUGAGUCCCUAUAGAGUCUUAUGGGCCCCGGUCAAAAGUAGUGUACUAUAUAGGGCAUAGGGUGCUAUGAAAGAGGCAGACGAACAGUGGUCUGACACCAGACACCGCCUCAGGCCUCUCUGUGCUGCUGCAGGACCCAACAUCUGCUGCCUGGUCUGGGAUAAUGCAAAAUGUUCAUCUCUCAUGCCCUUUCUACACAAAUACACACGCAAGCACACACACACACACAAUAAUCUCUCAUGUCCUUUCUCCUGAGGACUGGGCCAUGCCAGAGCAGUGACCUGCCUCUAACUCUCCCAGGCAACACAUCAGAUGGUACACUACACUACACACACACACACACACACACACACACACACACACACACACACACACACACACACACACUGGUUGUGACUUGGGGGUAGAAAGAGAAACACACAUUAAAACAGAUGUGGUCUCCACAAAGCCAAUGUUGUUGGGAUGUUACAGACAGUCAGGUGUGGUCUCCACAAUGCCAGUGUUGUUGGGAUAUUACAGACAGUCAGGUGUGGUCUCCACAAAGCCAGUGUUGUUGGGAUAUUACGGACAGUCAGGUGUGGUCUCCACAAAGCCAAUGUUGUUGGGAUGUUACAGACAGUCAGGUGUGGUCUCCACAAUGCCAGUGUUGUUGGGAUAUUACAGACAGUCAGGUGUGGUCUCCACAAUGCCAGUGUUGUUGGGAUAUUACGGACAGUCAGGUGUGGUCUCCACAAUGCCAGUGUUGUUGGGAUAUUACGGACAGUCAGGUGUGGUCUCCACAAUGCCAGUGUUGUUGGUAUAUUACGGACACUCAGGUGUGGUCUCCACAAUGCCAGUGUUGUUGGUAUAUUAUGGACACUCAGGUGUGGUCUCCACAAUGCCAGUGUUGUUGGUAUAUUAUGGACACUCAGGUGUGGUCUCCACAAUGCCAGUGUUGUUGGUAUAUUAUGGACACUCAGGUGUGGUCUCCACAAUGCCAGUGUUGUUGGUAUAUUACGGACACUCACUUGACAACUGCUUUUCAGAAACUGCUGAACAUUAAGGAAGCUACUGGUUGGCUGGAAAGUUACAUUUGAUACACACAGGACAGUGAGUGCAGGGUCCAGUAAUGUCUGCCUGUCCGUUCGAGGCCUCAGUAAAACCCAUUAAAUAUGACUAUGAACCUAUAUGACUGUGACCCUGUAUGACAACAAGCCUACAUAACUACGACUCUACAUAACUAAGACCCUACAUAACUACGACUCUACAUAACUACGACUCUACAUAACUACGACUCUACAUAACUACGACCCUACAUAACUACGACUCUACAUAACUACGACUCUACAUAACUACGACCCUACAUAACUACGACCCUACAUAACUACGACCCUACGUAACUACGACCCUACGUAACUACGACCCUACGUAACUACGACUCUACGUAACUACGACUCUACGUAACUACGACUCUACGUAACUACGACUCUACAUAACUACGACCCUACAUAACUACGACUCUACAUAACUACGACUCUACAUAACUAAGACCCUACGUGACUACGACUCUACAUGACUACGACCCUACGUGACUACGACUCUACAUAACUACGACUCUACAUAACUACGACUCUACAUAACUACGACCCUACAUAACUACGACUCUACGUGACUACGACUCUACAUAACUAAGACCCUACGUGACUACGACUCUACAUAACUACAACCCUACGUGACUACGACCCUACAUAACUACGACCCUACAUAACUACGACCCUACAUAACUACGACCCUACAUAACUACGACUCUACAUAACUACGACUCUACAUAACUACGACUCUACGUGACUACGACCCUACGUGACUAUGACUCUACAUAACUACGACUCUACGUGAAUAUGACUCUACACAACUAAGACCCUACGUGAAUACGACCCUACGUGACAACGACCCUACGUGACUACGACCCUACGUGACUACGACCCUACGUGAAUAUGACCCUAUGUGACUGUGACUCUACGUGACUAUGAUCCUACGUGACUACGACCCUACGUGACUACGACCCUACGUGACUACGACCCUACGUGACUACGACCCUACGUGAAUAUGACCCUAUGUGACUGUGACUCUACGUGACUAUGAUCCUACGUGACUACGACCCUACGUGACUACGACCCUACGUGACUACGACCCUACGUGAAUAUGACCCUACGUGACUACGACCCUACGUGACUAUGAUCCUACGAGUCUACAUAAAUACGACCCUACAUGACUACAACGCUACGUGACAACGAAUCUGAUGUCUUUUAUUCCAACAGGGCAUCAUCUCUGAUCCUCUCUGUUCCUCUGUCAAGGCCGUCUCUCAGGACAUCCUCUCUGUUCCUCUGUCAAGGCCGUCUCUCAGGACAUCCUCUCUGUUCCUCUGUCAAGGCCGUCUCUAUCAGGACAUCCUCUCUGUUCCUCUGUCAAGGCCGUCUCUCUCAGGACAUCCUCUCUGUUCCUCUGUCAAGGCCGUCUCUCCUCUCUGUUCCUCUGUCAAGGCCGUCUCUCAGGACAUCCUCUCUGUUCCUCUGUCAAGGCUGUCUCUCCUCUCUGUUCCUCUGUCAAGGCCGUCUCUCUCAGGACAUCCUCUCUGGUCCUCUGUCAAGGCCGUCUCUCCUCUCUGUUCCUCUGUCAAGGCCGUCUCUCAGGACAUCCUCUCUGUUCCUCUGUCAAGGCCGUCUCUCCUCUCUGUUCCUCUGUCAAGGCCGUCUCUCUCAGGACAUCCUCUCUGUUCCUCUGUCAAGGCCGUCUCUCAGGACAUUCUCUCUGUUCCUCUGUCAAGGCUGUCUCUCCUCUCUGUUCCUCUGUCAAGGCCGUCUCUCUCAGGACAUCCUCUCUGUUCCUCUGUCAAGGCCGUCUCUCAGGACAUCCUCUCUGUUCCUCUGUCAAGGCCGUCUCUCCUCUCUGUUCCUCUGUCAAGGCCGUCUCUCUCAGGACAUCCUCUCUGUUCCUCUGUCAAGGCCGUCUCUCAGGACAUCCUCUCUGUUCCUCUGUCAAGGCCGUCUCUCUCAGGACAUCCUCUCUGUUCCUCUGUCAAGGCCGUCUCUCAGGACAUCCUCUCUGUUCCUCUGUCAAGGCUGUCUCUCAGGACAUCCUCUCUGUUCCUCUGUCCAGGCCGUCUCUCAGGACAUCCUCUCUGGUCCUCUGUCAAGGCUGUCUCUCAGGACAUCCUCUCUGUUCCUCUGUCAAGGCCGUCUCUCAGGACAUCCUCUCUGUUCCUCUGUCAAGGCUGUCUCUCAGGACAUCCUCUCUGGUCCUCUGUCAAGGCUGUCUCUCAGGACAUCCUCUCUGUUCCUCUGUCAAGGCCGUCUCUCUCAGGACAUCCUCUCUGUUCCUCUGUCAAGGCCGUCUCUCUCCUAAGUGCACUUUCCCUCCUAACCCGACUUGCGCUUUGGAAUUGAUUGAAACAAAAUGUCACAAAUAUGGCCUGUAGCUCCGAGCCGUCCUUCUGCGCACGGCCUUAAUUAUUCAUCAAUUAGUUGUCUUUAUUUAUUUAUUUUUGCAGAGAUGUAUGGUUCCCCUGCUCUACAUCAGUCCAAAGUCAUUCAUUUCUGGGUUUGCAAUUAAACCUUAUGCAUCAUUUAUGAGCCAGACCCAACUCUGUCUGUCUGUCUGUCUGUCUGUAGACACCGCAACAAGCUGAGGUCCCUGUACUCUGGAGGGAACGAGGAUAAAUUAAUUCAGAGGAAUUAAGUUCUCUCUCUCUCAGGUUGGAAUGAACAGAUGCCAUCGGCCUGAGAGAGAGAAUGGAGAUAGAUAGAUCACCGUACGCCGAGAAUGACAACAAUAGGAGAGGAUAGAAACACUCAGUGAACAAAUGAAAAAUGUACAAAUCUAGAAAACAUGUAUAAAGUAUUCAAAUAUAU